GACGAACGCUGGCGGCGUGCCUAAUACAUGCAAGUAGAACGCUGAAGGAGGAGCUUGCUCUUCUGGAUGAGUUGCGAACGGGUGAGUAACGCGUAGGUAACCUGCCUGGUAGCGGGGGAUAACUAUUGGAAACGAUAGCUAAUACCGCAUAACAGUAGAUGUUGCAUGACAUUUACUUAAAAGGUGCAAUUGCAUCACUACCAGAUGGACCUGCGUUGUAUUAGCUAGUUGGUGGGGUAACGGCUCACCAAGGCGACGAUAUAUAGCCGACCUGAGAGGGUGAUCGGCCACACUGGGACUGAGACACGGCCCAGACUCCUACGGGAGGCAGCAGUAGGGAAUCUUCGGCAAUGGACGGAAGUCUGACCGAGCAACGCCGCGUGAGUGAAGAAGGUUUUCGGAUCGUAAAGCUCUGUUGUAAGAGAAGAACGAGUGUGAGAGUGGAAAGUUCACACUGUGACGGUAUCUUACCAGAAAGGGACGGCUAACUACGUG
rnacentral:rRNA from 1 species